GAGUUAUCACGAAAGGCAGAGGGAAUAGACCCGUUGAAGCCUUAGCAACCCUCCUUUGGAGAAGGUGCUACAUUCUACCACUAUAGUGGAUAGAUAACAA
rnacentral:ncRNA from 2 species